rnacentral:rRNA from 1 species
UACAGAGGUCUCAAGCGUUGUUCGGAAUCACUGGGCGUAAAGAGUGCGUAGGCUGCAUGGAAAGUCAGAUGUGAAAUCUGGGGGCUCAACCUCCAAAUUGCAUCCGAUACUCCCAUGCUAGAGGGCUGGAGAGGAGUCUGGAAUUCUUGGUGUAGCAGUGAAAUGCAUAGAUAUCAAGAGGAACACUAGUGGCGAAAGCGAGACUCUGGACAGCAACUGACGCUGAUGCACGAAGGUCAGGGUAGCGAACGGG